GCCACAUGAUGCUAUAUAGACUGCAUUAGCAUUUUUAUGCAAAGAUGACCUUCUAUCUAUCACCCAAGACUGAUGGCA